rnacentral:rRNA from 1 species
GACGAACGCUGGCGGCGUGCUUAACACAUGCAAGUCGAACGGAAAGGCCCUGCUUUUGUGGGGUGCUCGAGUGGCGAACGGGUGAGUAACACGUGAGUAACCUGCCCUUGACUUUGGGAUAACUUCAGGAAACUGGGGCUAAUACCGGAUAGGAGCCCCUGCUGCAUGGUGGGGGUUGGAAAGUUUCGGCGGUUGGGGCUGGACUCGCGGCUUAUCAGCUUGUUGGUGGGGUAGUGGCUUACCAAGGCUUUGACGGGUAGCCGGCCUGGGAGGGUGACCGGCCACAUUGGGACUGAGAUACGGCGCAGACUCCUACGGGAGGCAGCAGUGGGGAAUAUUGUACAAUGGGCGGAAGCCUGAUGCAGCGACGCCGCGUGCGGGAUGACGGCCUUCGGGUUGUGAACCGCUUUCGCCUGUGACGAAGCGUGAGUGACGGUAAUGGGUGAAGAAGCACCGGCUAACUACGUG